GACGAACGCUGGCGGCGUGGAUUAGGCAUGCAAGUCGAACGGUAUCAUCCUUUCGGGGGUGAGAGAGUGGCGAACUGGUGAGUAACACGUAGGUUAUCUACCCUCAAGACGGGGACAACCCAGGGAAACUUGGGCUAAUACCGGAUGUGAGCAACUUUUAGUUGUUUGAAAGGUGGCGUAAGCUGUCGCUUGGGGAUGAGCCUGCGUCCUAUUAGUUAGUUGGUGAGGUAACGGCUCACCUAGGCAAUGAUAGGUAGGCGGCCUUAACGGGUGGUCGCCCACACUGGGAUUGAGAUACGGCCCAGACUCCUACGGGAGGCAGCAGUCGAGAAUAGUCUACAAUGGUCGGAAGACUGAUAGUGCGACGCCGCGUGAACGAUGAAUCCCUUCGGGGUGUAAAGUUCUUUUAUAUGUGAGCAGUGCUUCUUAUAUUAACAGUAUGGGGAGAGGAGAUAUUAGCAUAUGAAUAAGCAACGGCUAACUCCGUGCCAGCAGCCGCGGUAAUCUCG
rnacentral:rRNA from 1 species